GGCGGUAAUUCUGGCAGCGGUUCCUGUCUCUGGGGGCUUUCAUUUCAACAUUCUGUCUGUGAGUGGCUGGCUCGUUCUGUGUGCAGGGAGUUUCUGGUGGGAUGGAACAAAAAGAAGUUUCCUUUUCGCCCAUCAAGAGCAAGGCAGGAAGAACAGACACAACAAAGCAAAAGAACAGUGUCAGGCAGUGGACGGAGAGAGAAGACAGCAAGACAACCCUAAAGAAAAGAUGGCUGCUGUCGUUGCUGGUCUGGCCCGAGUCCUUCAGCCUGCCAUGGCACUCCCAGCGGGUGGGCCCGGUUGCCAUGGCCUUGCCCCCUGGUAUCUCCUUUUGGGUCUACGCCUGGUAGCCCUUUUCAUUGCCGAUGGUCCCUGGUCCUCUGUCAAACCUGACCUGGCUUGCAAUUGGACCUCAGCGUCUUCAGACACUCAGCCUUUUUGCAGCACGCUCUGCUUCAACCGGCACUUUUCUUCGCCCGUUUCCUCAGUGUGGGGCUUUGCUUUUCUGGCUGCCAUGCUCCCGGUGGGACUAAUGUGGCUGCUAAGAACUGGACUGAAGCAUGGGAAAAAGGCAGCAAAGGCAGGAGAUGAGGAACGGGCAGAUAACUCCAGGGUGAGCCACCACAUGGCUGACGAAAUCAACACGGCCGCUGGAAAAAUUCCUCCGUCCGGUGUGUCUGCUUUCAGAAUUGACACAGUUCAACCAGAUUCCAAGAUGGCUUCUUGCUGCACCUGGCAUUCAGUGGCGUUUGGUUUCUGUGUGAUUCUGCUGCUGGUAAUGGAGCUGUGCUUCCUCUGGGUUGUAAUAGCUCUGCAGCUCCCCUCAGUGUCAGAGACGACGUUCUUGUGCCUUCCGGGAGCACUGAACUGCCCCAAGGCCCUUGAAUGUGCUUUGGCAGGCCAAGCUGACAAGCAGGUGGCAUUGUGGGCACUGGCUUUCACAGCCCUGGUUGAUAUGGCUGCUUGCCUCGCCUACCUUAUCUCGAGGUUAGCGAAGGCUUCGAGGUGCCACAGAAGGUAGCAACACAAAUGAGGAAGAAUACUAGAAAACUGGACUCCAAAGGUGGAGGAUGAAAAAGACUGAUGCAGCAGCACACAGUUGCCAGCCGUGACGCUGAAAAAACCGAUGUGCCAAUACCUGCCAGUUCGGUCCAGUUUCAUGAACUAUUCUUGUUGCUGGAGAACCAAGGCUUCUUUGAUUUUGAAACACAAUGUUUUCAAAUUCUGUGUUCUCGAAGGCUUUCAUGGCCAGGAUCUGAUGGUUGUUGUGAUGGUUCAGAACACGGCCAAACAGCCUGAAAAAUCCACAACAACCAUUUUCAAAUUCUGUUUUUCGUUCUAUUCUCCUUUUCUUACCUUUUAUCUACUGAAACAGGUUGUAUUUUAAAUAUAUUUUUAAAUGAAA